GGGGAAUAUUGGGCAAUGGGCGCAAGCCUGACCCAGCAACGCCGCGUGAAGGAAGAAGGCUUUCGGGUUGUAAACUUCUUUUAACAGGGACGAAGCAAGUGACGGUACCUGUUGAAUAAGCCACGGCUAACUACGUGCCAGCAGCCGCGGUAAUACGUAGGUGGCAAGCGUUAUCCGGAUUUACUGGGUGUAAAGGGCGUGUAGGCGGGACUGCAAGUCAGAUGUGAAAACUAUGGGCUCAACCCAUAGCCUGCAUUUGAAACUGUAGUUCUUGAGUGUCGGAGAGGCAAUCGGAAUUCCGUGUGUAGCGGUGAAAUGCGUAGAUAUACGGAGGAACACCAGUGGCGAAGGCGGAUUGCUGGACGAUAACUGACGCUGAGGCGCGAAAGCGUGGGGAGCAAACA
rnacentral:rRNA from 1 species